UUCUGGUUUUGCCCGGUCUCGCCGUUGAAGUAAUUGUGAUGCUGUUAAAUUGUCCCGAAAGCAAUCAAUGACCGCUGCCGGCUCUAUUCAUACCCUACCUCAGGCUGGAUUGGCCAUUAUUUUCAACUUUUCUUUUUAAUUAGGGGAUAAUGCUAGCAAUUCACCUAAGUGAAGUGGAGGUCUUACUUUUUUCAUCGCUCUUUCUAGUCAUGAGAAUUGUUCCCUGUCUAAGUCGUUUCGCAAUUAUCCAAGUACCUUUUAGUUAUUGUGUGGGUGUCUUAGUGUGACUCAGCAUUGCAGGUAAGUAAUAUUCCAAUAGUUUAAACCCCGGGGAAAACUCUUAAAUGAACAAUAUAAACACAAGAGAUUCUGCAGAUGCUGGACGUCUUGAACAGCACACACAAAGUGCUGGAGGAACUCAGUGAGUCAGACAGCAUCUAUAGAAAGUCGACCCUUCAUCAGGACUGGAAAGGAAAGGAAAGGAAUAGACGCCAGAAUAAGAACGAGGCAGAGCCAGAAGAUUAAGAUGUAUGGGAUCCAUUUGACUGGCUUGCUGACAGAAGACAGACGUGUCUUACUCUGGUUGGAGGUGUGUGACGGAUUGUUUUCCAUGGGAAUCCAUAUUGGGACCUUUGUUUGUGAAGCAGAUAAAACACUUGGAUGAUGGCCACAGGUGAGGUGCCAGAAAAUGUCGUUCUUAUAUUUUUAAAAGGCAGCAGGUAACUACAAACUGAUGAACCUCAUAUCAGUGGUAGACAACACGUUGGAAAAUAAACUAACGGAUGUAAUAUAAAUACGGCACAUAUGGGAAAGCAGGUGCUAAUCAGGCAUAGCAAACAUGGCGUAUUCUUGGUGUUCACCUGAUGGAGAAUCUCACCUGGUCCCUCGACACCAGCUCCAUAGCAAAGAAAGCCCAGCAGCAUCUCUACUUGCUGCAAAGGCUGAGGAAAGUCCAUCUCCCACCUCCCAUCCUCAUCACAUUCUACAGGGGUUAUAUUGAGAGCAUCCUGAGCAGCUGCAUCACUGCCUGGUUCGGAAAUUGCACCAUCUUGGAUCGCAAGACCUUGCAACGGAUAGUGAGGUCAGCUGAGAAGAUCAUCGGGGUCUCUCUUCCUGCCAUCACGGACAUUUACAGUACGCGCUGCAUCUGCAAAGGAAACAGCAUUAUGAAGGACCCCAUGCAUCCCUCAUACAAUCUCUUCUCCCUCCUGCUGUAUAGGAAAAGGCUCCGAAGUAUUUGGGCUCUCACGACCAGACUAUGUAACAGUUUCUUCCCCCAAGCUAUCAGACUCCUCAAUACCCGAAGCCUGGACUGACACCUUGCCCUACUGUCCUGUUUAUUAUUUAUUGUAAUGCCAGUACUGUUUUUGUGCACUUUGUGCAGUCCAGUGUAGGUCUGUAGUCUAGUGUAGCUUUCUCUGUGUUUUUUUAUUAUGUAGUUCAGUCUAGUUUUUUGUACUGUGUCAUGUAACACCAUGGUCCUGAAAAACGUUGUCUCAUUUUUACUAUGCGCUGUACCAGCAGUUAUGGUUGAAAUGACAAUAAAACUUGACUUGACUUAUGUGGGAGAUGCCAUGUCUCAUUAAUUUGGUUGAAGUUUUUUGAGAAGGUAACUAAGAAAAUUGAUGAAUACAGGGUAUUAGACAGCUGGAGGAAC